rnacentral:rRNA from 1 species
GACGACCUUUGGCGGCGCGCCUAACACAUGCAAGUCGAACGAGCGAGAGAGAGCUUGCUUUCUCGAGCGAGUGGCGAACGGGUGAGUAACGCGUGAGGAACCUGCCUCAAAGAGGGGGACAACAGUUGGAAACGACUGCUAAUACCGCAUAAGCCCACGGCUCGGCAUCGAGCAGAGGGAAAAGGAGCAAUCCGCUUUGAGAUGGCCUCGCGUCCGAUUAGCUAGUUGGUGAGGUAACGGCCCACCAAGGCAACGAUCGGUAGCCGGACUGAGAGGUUGAACGGCCACAUUGGGACUGAGACACGGCCCAGACUCCUACGGGAGGCAGCAGUGGGGAAUAUUGCACAAUGGGGGUAACCCUGAUGCAGCGGCGCCGCGUGGAGGAAGAAGGUCUUCGGAUUGUAAACUCCUGUUGUUGGGGAAGAUAAUGACGGUACCCAACAAGGAAGUGACGGCUAACUACGUGCCAGCAGCCGCGGUAAAACGUAGGUCACAAGCGUUGUCCGGAAUUACUGGGUGUAAAGGGAGCGCAGGCGGGAAGACAAGUUGGAAGUGAAAUCUAUGGGCUCAACCCAUAAGCUGCUUUCAAAACUGUUUUUCUUGAGUAGUGCAGAGGUAGGCGGAAUUCCCGGUGUAGCGGUGGAAUGCGUAGAUAUCGGGAGGAACACCAGUGGCGAAGGCGGCCUACUGGGCACCAACUGACGCUGAGGCUCGAAAGUGUGGGUAGCAAACAGGAUUAGAUACCCUGGUAGUCCACACCGUAAACGAUGAUUACUAGGUGUUGGAGGAUUGACCCCUUCAGUGCCGCAGUUAACACAAUAAGUAAUCCACUUGGGGAGUACGACCGCAAGGUUGAAACUCAAAGGAAUUGACGGGGGCCCGCACAAGCAGUGGAGUAUGUGGUUUAAUUCGACGCAACGCGAAGAACCUUACCAAGUCUUGACAUCCCUUGACAGGCAUAGAAAUAUGUAAUCUUUUCGGAGCAAGGAGACAGGUGGUGCAUGGUUGUCGUCAGCUCGUGUCGUGAGAUGUUGGGUUAAGUCCCGCAACGAGCGCAACCCUUAUGGUCAGUUACUACGCAAGAGGACUCUGGCCAGACUGCCGUUGACGAAACGGAGGAAGGUGGGGAUGACGUCAAAUCAUCAUGCCCUUUAUGACUUGGGCUACACACGUACUACAAUGGCGUUAAACAAAGAGAAGCAAGACCGCGAGGUGGAGCAAAACUCAGAAACAACGUCCCAGUUCGGACUGCAGGCUGCAACUCGCCUGCACGAAGUCGGAAUUGCUAGUAAUCGUGGAUCAGCAUGCCACGGUGAAUACGUUCCCGGGCCUUGCACUCAAGGCCCGUC